CCUACGGGUGGCAGCAGUGAGGAAUAUUGGUCAAUGGGCGCGAGCCUGAACCAGCCAAGUCGCGUGAGGGAAGACGGUCCUAUGUAUCGUAAACCUCUUUUGUCAGGGAGCAAAAAACGGCACGCGUCCCGUUUCGAGUGUACCCUAAGAAAAAGCAUCGGCUAACUCCGUGCCAGCAGCCGCGGUAAUACGGAGGAUGCGAGCGUUAUCCGGGUUUAUUGGGUUGAAGGGUGGCGCAGGCGGGAGAUAAAGUCAGCGUUAAAAUUGAGAGGCUCAACCUCUGCGCGCCGUUGAAACUGGUUGUCUUGAGUGAGUGAGAAGUAUGCGGAAUGCGUGGUGUAGCGGUGAAAUGCAUAGAUAUCACGAAGAACUCCGAUUGCGAAGGCAGCAUACCGGCGCUCAACUGACGCUGAUGCACGAAAGUGUGGGUAUCGAACAGGAUUAGAUACCCGUGUAGUC
rnacentral:rRNA from 1 species